rnacentral:rRNA from 1 species
CCUACGGGAGGCAGCAGUGAGGAAUAUUGGUCAAUGGACGAGAGUCUGAACCAGCCAAGUAGCGUGAAGGAUGACUGCCCUAUGGGUUGUAAACUUCUUUUAUAAAGGAAUAAAACGAGGCACGUGUGCCUUUUUGCAUGUACUUUAUGAAUAAGGAUCGGCUAACUCCGUGCCAGCAGCCGCGGUAAUACGGAGGAUCCGAGCGUUAUCCGGAUUUAUUGGGUUUAAAGGGAGCGUAGGUGGGUUGUUAAGUCAGUUGUGAAAGUUUGCGGCUCAACCGUAAAAUUGCAAUUGAUACUGGAAGUCUUGAGUACAGUAGAGGUAGGCGGAAUUCGUGGUGUAGCGGUGAAAUGCUUAGAUAUCACGAAGAACCCCGAUUGCGAAGGCAGCUUACUAAACUGCGACUGACAUUGAGGCUCGAAGGUGUGGGUAUCAAACAGGAUUAGAUACCCCGGUAGUC